rnacentral:rRNA from 1 species
ACGGCUUCGCAACUGCGACCGCGCGCCGUUCGUUCGUUCGCGCGUGCGCGCGGGCCUGCGAUGUCCCGACUGGCCGCUCGAUGGUCACGCAAGAGGCGCAGAGUCGCGACUCGAUCGCGUUCGGCCGGGCGCAAGUACGGCCCGGCUGCCCGACUCUCGGACGCGUGCCGAAGUCGGCGUCGGCCGGCUGUUAGCGCCCGCGCUCUCGAACAGACUCUGAACACACACACACACACACGCCCGUCAGCGGCGAUAUAGCUUUGGGUGCUUUCAGGACCCGUCUUGAAACACGGACCAAGGAGUCUAGCAUGCAUGCGAGUCGUUGGGAGCAUCGAAUCCCGGUGGCGCAAUGAAAGUGAAAGAUGAGAGCUUACUCGUCCGAGGGACGAUGGGCGGCAGGGUGCGCGGCAGCGCGCACCCGCGUCGCCCCGCAGUCUCUGGGCGCCUCGCGCUCAUUGCGAGCUGAGGUGCACCCUGAGCACGCACGCUGGGA